rnacentral:pre_miRNA from 1 species
UGUGUACUCCUUUCGUUCCAAAAUACUUGACUUCCAUUUGUCCAAAAAUGGAUGUACCUAUAUACUAAGACAUGUCUAGAUACAUAUAUAUUUUGACAAAUAGAAGGCAUGUAUUGUGCAACGGAGGGAGUAGAAU